GAAUUGUUCGCAGCGAGAGGGUGUUUGACCCUUGGACCGCCUUCGUUUGGCCUUGGAGGGCCUUCUGGAAGCUUAACGUGAGGAUUGAGACCUAGUGGAGCUGAUCCUUGAGACUUCUUGGACUGAUUUGGAGCCUAAUACUAGAGCCUGUUACAGGAG